UUGGGGAAAUUCGUGAAUUUUAGCCAAAAUGAAUGGACCUGUCAAGACUUUUGGAGCUGACAAAGGCAAUUGUUAAUUUGUUAAAUAGUGGACAAAUGAUAUAUAACAACAAGUGUGACUAAAAUAUUUGAUGUGCUUAUGCAAAUAAUUCAAGAACAUUAUUAAAAAUGGGACUAAACAAAUGACUAAAUUGGUUUGUCAUUGGUGCCAAGAUCAUUUUUACAGUACAUUGCAUUAAAUUUAUUCAUGGCUCAAACACUAAGUCUUGCCAAUUCAUGUAAUAUCAGAUUUGCAUAAUGAAAAAAGAAGAAUGUGAACAACUAGGACUGCGUAAAUGCUUAAAUAUAACAUAAACAAUAGCCAGCAAAUGAUUAUGGUGUUAAAAGUGUCAUUAAGUACGUUGUCGAUUUUAGUUUGUGUCACCAAGUGUCUUAAAAAUUAAUCAAAUACUGGUAUACUUGAACCAGCAACAAAAUGAGCAUCAAGACCAUCUACAUGAUAUGCUUAUGCUUCAACAAUGAUGAGUCCCUGAUAAUGAAUAAUCAUUACUCAAUUAUUUACAUAUUGCAAGUGCAAUUGAAUCCAAAACAUGUCAAGUUUAAAUGAAAUCCAACACUCAUGAGUUAUCUGAUAUGAUUUAUCAAUCUUUUAUUGGAGCAAUCAACAAUAUCACAUGGUGCUGGUAUUAUUGACUCUCAUGCUCAAGUUGAUAUUGUUAUUGCUAAACGUUUGUCAAUUUUUAUUGUAAUUGUCUUUGGUAAAGUGCUGGUGAUGCUCCAUCAAUAACAACAUGUUGGUCUUGAGAGAGUUGAAAGUAGUUGAGAGAGCAGUUGAGACUUUGAGAGUGGUUGAGAGCAUCAGAAUAUACUGCCUCUAGCAAAUGGCUUGCCUCCUCUCUCUCCAAUACCUUGUUUACAUCAAAGAGCUUGCCGCUAUAGCAACGGUGUGUAUAUUAUCAAUCCAGCCGACAACUCGAGACACCUUUCGAAAUGGAUAAACCACUUUCAAAUAAUAAUAAUAGUAUAGACUAUAUUCGAAAAUAUAAUAUUACAAUUUAUUAUAAUUUUUAAACAAUCGAGUCAAAUAGUUUAUCAUCAAGUAAAUAUCUAUAAGAUAAGAGACUAACAAAAACUUUAUUGGGUACUUACAAGUGGUAGACUGAAAAGCAGUGAAAAAUGUUUUUAAAAAAGUUUUGGUGAAAAGUGUUGUGAUCAUUGUUUUGUGUGUAAUGUGUGUAGUGUUUGUGUGUGAUCAUUGAACCUGUUGAUGACCAGCUUGAAUCAUCACAUGAACUGCAUGGAGUGCAGCAUCCUCUGGUCUUCAUGGAUUGCAGUAUCCUGAGCAAUUUUGAUGACCAGUGUUGGAAGAUGAACAUCCGCGUAAAAG